UUAGAUGGCCAUACCACCCUGAAUGCUCCUAUCUCCGAAGCUAAGCAGGGUCAGGCCUAGUUAGUACUUGGAUAGGAGAAGGGAGCACUCUCCA
rnacentral:rRNA from 1 species